GAUGAACGCUGGCGGCGUGCCUAAUACAUGCAAGUCGAGCGAACAGAUAAGGAGCUUGCUCCUUUGACGUUAGCGGCGGACGGGUGAGUAACACGUGGGUAACCUACCUAUAAGACUGGGAUAACUUCGGGAAACCGGAGCUAAUACCGGAUAACAUUUUGAACCGCAUGGUUCUAAAGUGAAAGAUGGUUUUGCUAUCACUUAUAGAUGGACCCGCGCCGUAUUAGCUAGUUGGUAAGGUAACGGCUUACCAAGGCGACGAUACGUAGCCGACCUGAGAGGGUGAUCGGCCACACUGGAACUGAGACACGGUCCAGACUCCUACGGGAGGCAGCAGUAGGGAAUCUUACGCAAUGGGCGAAAGCCUGACGGAGCAACGCCGCGUGAGUGAUGAAGGGGUUCGGCUCGUAAAACUCUGUUAUUAGGGAAGAACAAAUGUGUAAGUAACUGUGCACGUCUUGACGGUACCUAAUCAGAAAGCCACGGCUAACUACGUG
rnacentral:rRNA from 1 species